rnacentral:lncRNA from 1 species
UAAUAAACAGUUUUCGAAUGAUGAAAAAAAAAAUAAUGGUAUAAAAUACUCAGUAACCAGUAAGCAAAAUUUCAAUGGAGGCAUUCUGCUCACUGUGCUUAUAGAUUUCUGGAGGCUCUGGCUGUAGCAUAUGACUUGUUUCUGGACCAAGAGGGCUGACUCCAGAGAAGGUGUAAGAGCCGUGAGUUGCACACCAGUGAUUCCCUCCACUAUGCAGUGCUGCCUCCUAUGCAGGAGAAGCAGUACAGUGUGGUGAAGCUUUGAAGCCUAGAUUCAAG